CUAUUUAAGGCCAGGCAUAGCACUGUGGAGAAACAGUUGGACCUUGUGAUGGCACUGAAUUAUCCUUCUUUGUUACUUGCUGGUGAACCGUGGCUCCUUGUCAGAGACCAAAUAAAUAUUGGGCAACCCAUUGUAUGUUUGAACCCUACUCAAAAGUGACUUGAGGAUCAACUCUCGCCAGUGGGCAGCUGUUCUCAUCCCUACCACCAUCGCC